ensembl:lncRNA
CAUUGAUAUAGGUUAUCUUGAGACUUUUACUUGUAAUCCUCAAACAUUUUUCAGCAGAUGCCGCUCAAUGUCUUUUGCCAGCCAUCACUGUGGGGAGGUUUUUCCAGCGAAGAACAAAGGGAACAGAUGUUGCAGCCUUUUGCACAUGGAAGAUCAAACCGCGUUAUUUUUAACCAAGUCUCAUAAAGAGGAGGAGCAUCGGGGCCGUGAUGAGGAGCUGAGUAGAGCUGAGCGCGGGGCGGCAUGGGGUGUGAGCACUGCACGGCACAGCAGCAGUGGUGGCACGAGGGACAGCACUUCUGCUGAAAUGAUAAACGAGGCUGCAAAUGAUAAACGAACGAAUGCCAAGGUUGGUAGCACAGCAGUAAUUAAUCACCACGGUUGUGUGUGCAGCGCUGGAUGUCAGCUCCGGAGCCGCUCUGAGUGCAGUGCCAUCCCACCUGCCUGCUUCGGCUCGGGGCGGCUGUCCCGGGACGGGGUGAUGCUGUGCUCCCCACAUCCCAGCUCACUGCCCACCCCGCGGCCCCGCAUCGCACACCAGGAAUCACCUCCGAGCUGGGAACCGCCAGAAGAGCUCUGCAGCUGGCAGGGCACGCAGACAGCCGGCCUGUCGGGGCACGCCUCUGCGUUCCCAGAGCCAAAAACAUGAAAUCUCCCCUGUCAUCCCGAAUUCUUUUGAUGAUGAGAGAAGGCAACUGAGAAGUUCUGUUGCACAACCUUCAAGAUCAAAUGGUAAUUUAUUUCGAAUGCUCUUUGUUUCCUUGCACAACACACGGGCUCGGCAAUUAGCUGGAAGCAAAUAUUCCUCCUCGUUUUGCUCGAGCGUAGUUCGAGCGGUGUCCCGCAAGCUUAGCAUUAACAUUAUCAGCUGCAAGCAUUGUUGAAGCUCAGACCAUUCGCCUGUGGUCUGCUUUUAUAUGCUGAAGCAUUCUUAAUGCAGUCUCGUUGCUGCCUGGGAAAGAAACCAGGCGGAGGUUCCUUCUCCUCGCAAGCUGCUGUAACAAACAGCUGUUGGAAGCACUCUGCAGCACGGCUCAGCGCACUGUUAGGGCAGCACGGAAGGAAAGCUCCACGCAGGCUUUCACGCCAGGCUGUGUUGUUCCCAUCCCGCCUCCUACGCGGAGCACCAGGUCCCCUCCUGCACUGCUCAGCGUUGCUCUCCAGUGCUUUCUCCCACUGUGUUGGCUUUCUCCUGUUCAAACAAAGCAGGUUAUAUAAGAGCCGUGCCUUCAGGAUAGGCCCGUGUACACAGCAGCCGGCUCCCAGCAAAACAGAACUGGUGUGAGCGGAGGCGCACUGCGUCACCUGUGCUCACUGGGGAAGAAAUUUGGAUAGGCCAGAGAUCUUCGGUCAACACGUGUUUGAUGAUGGACGAAAAGACUGCAGAGAGCCGUGUGAGCAGCGAUAAGUGCUUCUCAGAAAGGGCAGCCAAUCCCAGAGGCCUCCACUAUUUUCCCCCCUUCAGAAUGAGGGGAGGUGAAAUUACCUGCCAGCUCCUCCACUGCUCAAUCCUGAGAGCUGGAGGGCGAGCCAAGGACGUGGUGCUGACUGUGCUGAUGCCCGAGAGCAAUUUCAGCACCCAGGAAACUCUUCUCUUGUCUUUGCAUCGGGAGUCUUCGGAUAGAAAUCAAAGAGCAAAAUUAAGUCACCCAAGCACUGGAGUGGUUCAGAGCCCAUUGCUGGCCAAUGCCUGGGCUGCACCUGGGCAGAUCCAAGGUGAGGCCUUAGCGGCCUGGAGCACCUUCUUUAUUAGGUAGAUCAGGUAAUCAGCAUCUUUAAGCCCCGUACUUGGGUAUUUUGGGGUCUGGACAUUUCUGCUGCAAGUCCCAAACAUUUGCUCCUGUUUUCCAGGCCAUGCCACAGCUGGGUCCCACUCUGCACAGCGCAUACUGCAUGAGGAGAGCAUCAGCUGCACCUGCAGCAUGGAUUUAUUGCUCACCAUCUCUGAGCCUACAACUCCAGAGGGAAAAAUGAUAGCGUGAAAGAAUAGCUGCUGGCAGCUUUUGCACCAGCCAGAAGGAGGCAUGAAUUAUCUCCAGCAGUUAUUGGCCACGCUUAUGAUGCAGAGGCUUCCCUCAAGGUGUGGUGGGACAUGGGCUUUUUACACAUUAAAUGUUAAAAGGGGGAUGCUAAAGACCUGCAGUGGCAAUAGGACCCCUAGUUGUUGGAGUGCACCAAGCACCUUUGUCCCAUCGCUCUCACCGUGCCAGGAGAAGAGUAAAGUCGUCAUGGUUUCUGCAGACUGUCAGCAGUGUGCAAAAGAGGUGCAGGGGCUGAACCACAUUGACUGGUUUGGGCAAUUCAGAGCCUGCAGGAACAGCCGGGGAGGGCUGUGCUUCAUCUCUGCUGCUCCUCCAAACAGAAAUGGAAAAAACAGGAGGAGGAGGAUGGAGGGGAGGUGGAGAGAGAGAGGAGAGAGGGUGAGAGAUCUGGUACAGCAUGAGCAGUGCUGUCGGAGCAAGCUGAAGCUUUUGGAGAGAAACAGCGCUUGGGAGUGGUGCAGAACUGGAAAUGGCUUUUGAAUCUUUCUGUUAUACUGUACAGUAAAUGGCUGGGAUACCUCUAAUAGUGAGGAAGGAGCUGUCUGGCUGGCUGAGGCUGUGCUGCUGCAGGGGUUGCUGCAGCAGCAGUGCUGUGGUCCCCACGGGCAGCAGCAUCCCACCCGCUGCUCCUGGAUGGGUGCCUGGGGCAAACGCUGCAGGAAGCACACUGCACAGAACUGAGAUACCCGAGAUAGAAACCAGUACCUGCACUGGGAGAAACUGGGGAGCUGGUGUUCUUUCCCAGCAGCACUGGGCUGUGCAUGCAGUCCUGAGGCCAGAGGAGGAGGGCUGACCACAACAUUACACACAUCACAGACCUGCCACAACCCUCUGCAUGUGUGGGGAAGAGGAAGUCCUGCCCAAGCUCACUGGACACUCAGGGAAUUGCCCAGAGCCCAGCAGACAGGACCUGUUUCCAUCGCACAGAGGUGUACCGGGCUGCUACACGUGAGUGUUAUACCCAUGAGCACUCGUGAUGGUGGUGGUGGAAGAGGUCACUCUGGCUGUGUUGGAUCAAGUCCUGAGAGCGUUCCUUCAGGGUGGAAGAGCCUGAGCGAUGCUGUUCCUUUUCUGACUCCUCCAAAGGCCAUCAAAGUCCUCCAGGUAAAGCAAGGAAGUCAGGACAUGGCAGCUCUAAUGUAAGACUGUGGGAAGAGGAGACAGCUGCUUUAAAAAGCAACCUUUGCAAGGUCGUCUCUGAGCAACGCAGAGCAGCAGCACAGAGCUCGAGCACUUUUCUGCAAUUCAGCUUGAAAAGGCUGCAUCUUGCCCUUCCUUUAUGGGAAAGAACACAUGUGAUGACAGGUCCCCAGAGCUUUUAUUUUGAAGCCAAAUGCUUAGAGUGCAUGAAGACAGCAAAAGCCUUUUCCUUCAGGCGAUACAAAUCAAAUAAAUGGAGGCGCUGCACUGCAGUUCUGUGCAACUGACUUGCACACAAACUGCACGUGUGUCUGAGCAUCCGAAAUGCAGCCCUGAUGGGAGGUGCUGGGUGCUGUCAGCAGCCCUCCUGCCCCAGCUGUUUCCUACCUGCUUGGGGCCGGGGUGUCUGCCCAUGACUUGACUUUGCCACGCUGGACAAAUGUUCUUCAAUGUAAAUUGAAUAGUAAGCUAUGCUAAAGGCACAAAAUAAAAAAGCAAGUGGAUUUUGUAGCAGCUACAGAGCUCUUAUCUUCUCAUUAAUGGG